GCUCGUGUAGUUUAGUUCGGCCUAUGAUGGGGGACUGUCACUCCUUCGACCCGGGUUCAAAUCCCGGCACGGGCGCCA
rnacentral:tRNA from 1 species